rnacentral:rRNA from 1 species
UACAGAGGGGGCAAGCGUUGUUUCGGAAUUACUGGGCGUAAAGGGCGCGUAGGCGGCUUUUAUAAGUCGGGGGUGAAAGCCUGUGGCUCAACCACAGAAUUGCCUUCGAUACUGUAGAGCUUGAGACCGGAAGAGGUAAGUGGAACUGCGAGUGUAGAGGUGAAAUUCGUAGAUAUUCGCAAGAACACCAGUGGCGAAGGCGGCUCACUGGCCCGGUACUGACGCUGAGGUGCGAAAGCGUGGGGAGCAAACAGGG